rnacentral:tRNA from 1 species
UACCGAAACACGGGAUUGAACCAGGAAACUUUAGAUCUUCAGUCUAACGCUCUCCCAACUGAGCUAUUUCAGC